GUCACUGUGCCUGGUCUAUACUUUUACUUUUUAUGUAGUAGUAUAUACUCUCUUCUCUCAUUAUUUAUUAUUAAUCUAUAUUUUGAAUAUUAUUUAUCAUCUCAAUCUAUUUCUCUAUGUUGAUAAUGCAGGUCUAGUUUAUCCAUUUUAACUGCUCUGUAGUAUUCCAUGAUUUAUUUAUUGUCUGUUAAUAGACACCUAUUCUCCUAUUGGUGCAUGUGUAGGUUUUCCCCUCAGUUUUUCUUGAUUACUAACAGUGCUGUCAGCAACAUCCUCAUAGAUGCUACCUUUUGCUUAUAAGAGCAUUCCUCUUGGGUAUGUAACCUAGAAGUGAAAUGGCUUGACUGUCGGAGAAUUAUAUUUUCAACUUUACUAGAUAUUGAUCAAUUGUCUUCCAAAAAGGCUACACUAAUUGACAAUCUCAACCAGCAGUGCAGGGGAAUGACUGCUUCUGUAUAGUCUCAAUAACACUUGGUAUCAUCAGAGCCUUACACUUUUAUUUUUUGAAUAGGAAUUUAUUUCUGGUGGGUGAUGGCUGUUACAAAGUUCAACUCCUGCCAAUGUGUCUCAUGCCCCAGAUUUGUGUAUUGUCAUGUAGCCAUCUUACCAUUGCUAAAGCCAUUCCUUUUAUUCGGAACACAUUUCUUGCCUUUGAUUGGCAAACUCCUACUCAUUCUUCAAGUCUCAACUAAAAUGUCCUCUGUGGCACUCUCUCAGAUUCCCCUGGGUCAUUUGUGGUUCCCUCCCCUUGCUCCCAUAGCUCUCUGUACAGAUCUCAUUGGUUGUACUUAUCGUGUAUUAUUAUUAUUAUUAUUUUCUGUGACUGUUUCUGUCACUGAACUGUGAUAGUCUCCAGGACAGGUAUGAUAAUGUACCAUGUUCACGUUAGACCCCCUUGCAUUUAGCCCAGGUACAGUUCAGAAAAUGUUUGUUACAGAAAUGCAUGAGUAAAUAAACGAAUAAGCCAAUCCAACAAAACCUGCCAAGUAGUCUUCUAGGUGUUGGGGAUGUAGCAGAGAACCAAUCUGUUAACUUUCUGUUCUUGAGCUUACAUGUAUGGGGUGGGAAUGGGGAGAAAAAAGAGACAGACAGUAUACAUCCUUCUCCCAAUCAACAGAGACCCUGCCGGGGAUAAAAACAGCAGGGAAAGAAGGCAGAGAAGGGUGGCAGAGAGGGCAACAGAUGCUGAUCUGUCCUGCCUCACAUCCCUUCAGCUCACCUUGACUUCAGCUGCAGCUGAGGAAGAUGUCCUUUGCUUAGGACAACUUCUCAUCUCUGGCACUUUCUGCUCAGAGCGUUCUCCAUAGUAAGGAGCUGCUUAUACUGCUGUUUCUCUUCAGGACCAGCCUGUAGGUGCACCAGCCCUUCUUGCAAGCAGGCUGGGUUCUGAUUGCCCACAGUGAUCACCAGCUCCGUCUUCUGCCCUUCAUUGGCUUUCUCUUGUACCACCUUCACUUCCCCAUUCCCUUAUUCCAGCUUCCCUGAACCACAUCUCAAAUAAAUAUUCUGCUUCCAAGGGCCAGGGCCUUAGGCUUGAGGAACCCAAACCAAGACAGAGAAUGUUGGAGGGGCUGCUAAUUGCUAAAGGGUUUGUUAGGAAAGCACUCUUUCAAUGGGGGACCUGACUGAAAAGAGAGUAAGCUUGUAGACACUUGGAGGAAAGGUGUCUCAGACAGAAGGAGCAGCAAGUCUAACUCUAGCCCUGACCCUGACGGGGGCGUGUGCUUGAGAAACAGCUAGUAGAAACAGCUGGAGCAGAGGUGAACAAGGGAGAAAACUGGAGAUGAGAUCCAAGUAGGAGCAGGGAUCCUGUAAGCCAAGCUAGGGAGUUUACAAUUCAUUCUGAAUGAAUGAAUUGGAUGGAUCUGAACAGAGGAGAGGCAGGAUGUAACCGUAGUUUGAGAUGAAUGCAUACAUGCAUACAUAUUAUGCUUGAAACAGACAUAAGCAAAUAAUUUUGUUAUUUAGAGGUUCCGAUUUAUGCAGAUCUGAUGGGCAUUUGUAUUUCAUGAGACAGUGUUGAAUUACAACGAUUUUGGUCAGAACCGAUUGGCUUACAUGCUUAGACAGCCCUGAAGGUAGUUGCUCUUAAAAGUUGCUUUGCUUUGGUAUGUCUGUGAAAGACUGAGAAGUAUGAAGUGAAGGAGGGCAGUAAGAAUUUGAGGACAGUUGGAAUUUCACCAGGUACAAAGAAUUUUAAGAAUGAUAUUUCGCAAAGAAAUCCCAGAGUACUUCAUGCUUUGUGAUGGGUGAAUUUAAGUCUGAGUGUCUCCUACCUGGCAAUGUUUUCUAGCAAGUGAACUAAAAGUAAAGGUAAGCUUUCUUCACAAAACCAAACCCUACAGCUAAAAGGGAUGUUAGCUAAUUAAUCAGGUCUGUGAAGAAGGAACUGUUAACUGGCAGCUCGAUGACUUUUGCGUUCCUUGUGAUGAAGCCAUGCAGGAUUGUUGGGUUCUGUGGCACUUUCUCCUUUGCAAGGUGGCAGCAGCUUUCUUUAUUGCUGGAUUUUUUGAAAGAGACAUUUAUGAUGUUGAUUUAUUGCUUUGUUGGACCCUGAUCAGAUCACAGAAUGGGAUGAUUCAGAGAAAUGAUCUCCCUUCCUCUUUAAGUCUUAGGAACAACAGGGCCUAGCCAUACAGGGAACACUGGGAGUUUGCAUGUUAAAUUAUUCAAGACAGCUUGUCAAGGUGUGAGCACCAAGGUGGGACCUGGAGGAAGGAAGAUGAUGCAAGUUCAAGAGAGAGAGAGGCCCUUUUCCUCUGUGGAAAUUCAGGAAUGAAUAAUCACACUCUAAUCUGACUUUCUGUGGGCCUUCCAUUCAUUUGCUCUGCGUGUAUUAAAUUUAUCAUCACUGGCAUAGCUAGAAAAUGGAGGUCAAAUUUCAUUUUGGCCCACAACGUGAUAAAAAUGACCUGCAAAAGGUAGAUGACAGGUUGUUAUUUUAUGCCCCGGAAAAUAGCAAAGAUCAGAUAGAUAGUGGUUCCUCACUGUCCUCCUUGAUCCCCCCUUCUUGGAUGGCCGAUACUAACUUUCCUUAGUAAUGCAUCAUAAAUGCACAUCCUGAUUUGUUAGAAGGGUGGUCAAGGUUUAAAACAAGAACGAUCUAUUUCUAACUGGCAAUUUCCAUCAGUACAGGUUGACUAGGCACCUUUCACUGUGUGAGUUUUUUACAGAACCACUGACAAGUCAUAAAAAUAUCCAGUGCUCAAGCAUGACAUUCAAACACACUGUCUCUUCUGCUUAUAGUUCAUUGACUCCCAGAAGUCAUCUAUUUAUAGCAAUUAAUGAUUUCUGAGCAAUUAGAUCCCCCUGUUUCAACAACUAUCAUGUUAUAGGAUAAAUCUUGCCCCACAGAAAUAAAUUCAAGGGGCAUGCAGUUUCAGGUAUAGGAAUAGAGACCGAAGUUGGUAUUCACAAGGCAAAGGAAGAAACCUUUUUCUUUAGCACUUGAGAUGGGCUAGGAUUCCCAUCAAAUAAAGGCUGUCAGGAAUUGUGCCUACAUCAAGAAUUAUUUAAACUUAGAAAAUGCUUAACCUCCACAUGGCCUUGCCUCCAAGGAUGAGAGGGAUAGCACCUGCCUCUCACUGUUCCAGGGACAGCCUGGCUACUGCAUUGCAGCCUUCUCCAUUGGAGGUCUGUCAUGAGUCAGUGCUACUUUUGCUAUGCUUUGCUUUGUAAAGAUCAUUGCAAGGGCUUAUCUUGGGUAAUUGUUAUUACUACCAUCUGCAUUACGGUGUAAUUACCUUUCCAAAAUGCUAGAUCUCUUUAGCUGAUGUUUAAAGAUAAGUAAUAGCCAAAUAAUUGCAAAGCCUUUGGAUACAGAGCAAGGCUCUCCAAUAAAAGGUGGGCUGUGUGUAAAGCAUGGAUUUCUUUCUCCUGUUUUCAUUUUUCUCUCCUUCUCUGGGAGCGGUAAGGGGAAGACUGAUUUUCCUCCCUAGCUCUCCCUUUAUUUUUACACAGGCUUAUGACUCAGUCAACAUUGUAGAAUUUAUCCACAUUCCAAUCUGACAUCCAUCCUACACUACUACCCCAUCCGGCAGGAUGAGGGUGGUGGCAUUCAACAAAGCUAAAUUGUGUUAAUCACAACUCAUGGCGAGUAAAUCCUCUCUCUAUUCCUAAGCACCGAAAGUGAGAAAUCAGAUGAGACGAAAUAGAGAGAAACCCCGUGGCCUCUUUUGGAUGAAGCAGAGAGAUUUAGUGUGGUCUCUUUCCUCCUGACUUCUAAACUUGUAAAUCAGUUGUUGAUUGGGACUUCUCUUGUGGCCCUUGAUGCUCUGAGGUACAAGCUACAGUUUGGUGAUAAAAGCUUGAGUAUAUUUCUUUAUUAGCAUAAUCCAUUAGCAGAACUUUAACUGCAUGUGAACCUGGUGCUUAUGCUAUAAAUUCUAGAGUAUCUAGAACACAAAAAGAAGGAUAGUGAAGCAUAAAAAUGAAAAGAACGGGAAAAAUGGAAGAAAAUGAAGAGAGAAAUAUGGAUUAAUUGAAAAUACAGAGAGAAAAUAUGAUAAUAUCAUGAUGGUUUGCAUACAGAAUAAGUAUUGAAUUUAUGGUCUUAAAAUUGCUAUUUAAAACCCUGGUUGCUGUUUGAUGUUCUCGUUUUUCUGGAAAUUCAUUUAAUUAAGCAAAUCUGGCCUGAAUAUUUACCUUCCCAAAUUCUUAAACAAGUAAAACAGAUGAAUUACUUUGAGCAUGUGGACUCAAGGAGUAGGUACAACAUGCUCACAAAAGAUUGAGGUAAGUACUAGCUUGUAAAAUAUCGUCAUCUCACCUUUGCAAUGAGAACUUCUGGCAGACAUAAUAAUUAGUAUUAUGGAGAGACUUCAUAAAUGCAACCAUUUGAGGGUUACUUUGUGCCACCAACCCUAUUAGGCUUUUUAUUAGAAUUAUAUCAUUUAAUCUUCACCACAGCUAUAUGGGUGAAACUAUUAUUCUUUCGAUUUUACAGGUUAGAAAACUAAGCCUUAGAGAGUCCAAAAUCAUAUUAGUUAACAGAGCUGGGAUUUGAUUUACCUAAAGCAGGUGUAAGAGUCUGUACUCUUCACUGUUUCCAUAUAACACAGGUACUCUAUUCAUUUAACAGAGUAGAUGAGAUAUCUGUAUCUAUAUCCAUAAUCAUACCUGUAGCUAUACAGAUAUAUAUUCAUACAUACAUAAGUUUAUCUGUGAUUGUCCCAGUAUGACCAUGGGACACUGUAGCUAUUUGUCUACUAUUAUAAGCCAGGAUUUAUACUGGACAAACCAAGAGGAAUGCUAGUUUUGAUCUCAACAGCUAACCAUAUUCUCUACUCCAGAGGAGAAAGUAUGCUGGAAGAGAUUUUGGUUGGUUGAUAUUUAGUUGUAAAGCUGUACAUUAGCCUCUUCUCAGUGGAAAGAGCAUCCCUUGUCUGGCUCUGUUCCUACCAGGAAUGAAACACUCAUUUUAAAGACAUUUCAUAUACCCUCAUUUUAAGAAAUAUCUGCACCCUUCAGAGCCAACAUUUGAGGAGGCAAAUUGAGUAACUUCUUCAUGGUGUGUGUGUGUGUGUGUGUGUGUGCGCGCGCGCGUGCGUGCCAGGCCGCUGGUGUCUGAUCUUGGUUCUUUUAACAUACCACUUUAUUCCAUGUUCAAGGACAAAACUGCAAGGGGUGCUAUCGUAAAUUCUGAUACUUAGUGCAAGCGAUUUAAUCAGAUGUUUCCUAAAGAAGCAGAGUUGGAUGACAGUGGGUAGAGAAAGCACAAGGACAGUGAAGAUCUCCUGGAAAUUGGGAGGAGCAGUGGAAUUGGUGUAUAGAAAGAGGAUGCUAAAGUAUCAAGAGCUCAAAUUCAACAUGUAGUCAGAGUGGAUACAGUCAUUCAUUGGAGGAAGAAGGGUUAAUGAAUAGAAGAAAAGCAGUGACAAUGGUACAUCCUAGAGAGACAACACUCCCUGGUAGCAUGUUAACUGCUUCAAGUAAGAGUGCAGAUCAUGCUGUGAUGUUGUACAAGAAAUCAGAUUAAAAAAAAUAAAUAAAGGUCUUCAGACUGUUAGCUCUUCCAAGAAAAGGCUCGGUACUGUUUCCUUUUUUUCUGCUGUACAGCCCCAUGUAUGUUUAUGAUGUCAUUUGAGUAAUGCUAAUAAAAAACACCAAUCGCCAUA